GAUAUAUAUGUUACGCUUUCAAUUUGUUGCCAGACAAUUGUAUUUGUUUUGUUUCAAAUUCGUUCGUUUCAGAACGGCCUAGAAGGACAACAGUUCCAUUAAGACUAAUUUCCAUGGCUAUGACGUCGUCUAAGCACGUUUUACCUUUCGUCUCUGGUAGCAAAAAGUAAACAAAGAUGGCGCUCAAUAAAGUGCAUCCGCAGAAGAAGUAGAAGGUCCCGUCUUUGCCCAUUGCUCGCAACAUGUCGGGGAAGAAUCGGACCAUCACGAAAGUGCAAAACAAAUGGAAAGAUGAGCUGAUCCCGCCCAGCAGCGUUCGAUAUCGCAACGGGAACAUUUCGCCCAUGAUGAUGAACGGGACGUUACUGAUCCCACCGGAAUACGUAACGAAGAAGACGAUGAGAGAUACGAGUGGCAGCCAACCAAAAUAAUCCGUUGCUUCUCUCUCGCCCCAUUGACGUUGGAAAUAGAAAAAUGUGCCCAUUGCUGUUAAAGGAAUCGACGUGCUGAUUGCGGAGACAAUGUACAACAUCCGCCUUCCGCAUCGAUCCACCUAAAAUUAAAGGUAUUAAUGUUUUUCUUUUGUUGGUAGAUGUCGACGUACCAGAAAUCCCGAGGCGACGGUGAAAACCAAUUGGACAGCGCCGACGAUGAUGGUGGCGUAUCUUCCAUCGAUGGUGCUUCCGGCCGACUGGAAGAUGCUCACGGUGUAGAAUACAAUGGCGUUGAUUCCGGUUGUCUGCUGGAACAGCAUGAUGCUCAACGAGAUGAAUAAGGGCUUAACAACCGGCCCUGAAGUCAAAACAUUGCGGAAUUCUUGCAAGAUCGUGUCAUCCUGCCCACUUUUAUUAGCCACACGACCCUGAUGUUCUUUAAUCCGCUCGAUUUCGGCUUCGAUGUUCGUCCCUCUGCUGAAGAGAAUGUCGGGCCUCUUGAUGCCGGCCCUUCGAUGUGAGCCAAACUGGAGAUUCCGGCAGGAAGAAAGAUCCGGCCAUGAAGAGGACGGGCAAACAGCCUAGAAUCCAAGACAAGACGUGCCAAUCCACGAACGAUCCGAUGAUGUACGUCAACCACACGCCUAAAGCCAAAGAAGACGCUGUCAUUGAUCCCAUCCGGCCUCGUAUCCCAGAUUUGUGCUGCGGGGGUGGUGCAUCCUGCUGCGAAUCCCAUCAGGAAUCGUCCAACGUACAACAUGGAUUUAUGUUUGCCGAAGUAGGUGAACCCAGUGAUGAGGAAUCCGCUAAUGAAGAUGAGUCGGAUGAAGACAUUUCAAAAUCCAACGUGCGAUUCAAGGAUGGAAUGCCUGGAGAACUCCAUCCGCGGACGGAACCCAUGGAAAAGUAGCCCCAUGUUGCCCACACUGCCACGAUCAACUAUGAAACAAUCGCAUAAACAAAAGUGCACACCUGUUUAAUGAGAAAUCUGGAACUAACCUGAGAUGUGAACGACGUAUGUAGUCUUGGCGUGUACACAGUGAACUAUAGGCGCGUGACAUGGAUGUGACGUGCGUGACAAACAGCUUCCGGAUUUCCCCAUUGCAAAAUUUCGUGAUUCAGUAAAAACAUCGACAGGUUCAGUGAGUACCUGCUAAGGGGAAAUGUUGGCACGGAAUGCGGGGCAGGUCCAAUGCGCGCUCCGUUCCACCUGUAAUUUGCUGAGGUUUUUCCCUCAUCCCACAAAAAAAGUGACGUUUUGGAGGCAGUCGUGUUUUGGACGCAUCCUUGGAUACAACUGGAUCACCACUGUCAAUUGUUGGGUCUUAAUUACCGUAACUGAAUUAGAAAAAAAAUGGAUCAUAGUUCGUCGAGGAAUUCAUUGCAAGCCGUAAAUCCAGGUGCAAAACCGGUAGAAAACAAGGUUGGUCAUUUCUCUUAUGUCAAUCAAACUCAAAAGCAUUCAGCGAUUUGCACCGUGACGCAAGAAAACAUGCGGAUGCGCCAAACCAUCAACAAAACGGCGCAUUGUAUGAACCAAUGGCUACGACAAACUCAACAACAAACUCAGAACGUCAUUAAACUGGCCGAGACGCUCAAAACGUCCAUCCCGAACAACUCACGACACGAUAUAGACGCCAUGAUUAAACAGAUGAAAGUUCGUGAGUGCCGAUGGGCUGAAGAAAGGGUGGCCUUUGAAGAUAUGCAAAAACGUUCGACGAGUCAAUAACUUUCAAUCAGCAACGAGGUAACUGCACAUGUUUGUUUUUGUCGAUGUGUGCACUUGCAUGUAGACCGGUUUGGCUAUUUGUCAAUGUAAUUCAGUUUGAUCCGAUUCCAUUGCGGUGAAUGACCGAACGGUAACACAUUCAGGUCACUUAUCUUGAGGACAACUUGUGGUCAUUGACAUAGUUUUCUUUUUAUCGAGUGUUUUCAUUAAACCCUGUUUUAAACUCUU